rnacentral:rRNA from 1 species
UACCGAGGGGGCAAGCGUUGUUCGGAAUUACUGGGCGUAAAGGGCGCGUAGGCGGCCCUCUAAGUCGAACGUGAAAUCCCCGGGCUCAACCCGGGAACUGCGUCCGAGACUGAAAGGCUCGAAUCCGGGAGAGGGAUGUGGAAUUCCAGGUGUAGCGGUGAAAUGCGUAGAUAUCUGGAGGAACAUCGGUGGCGAAGGCGGCAUCCUGGACCGGUAUUGACGCUGAGGCGCGAAAGCCAGGGGAGCAAACGGG